rnacentral:lncRNA from 1 species
UACUUGUUUAUAGCUACCCGCAUUACCAGGAAUGAAAAGGAUAGGAAUACCUGAUGGUUCGUCACUUUCCUCUACGCUUUUUUCUCUAUAAAGGUAGAGCGAAUAUUUAUUUGCGAAACGAGUGUAACGUUCAUCAAAAUCAACAAAACGAACAUAAGAAGGCCAAACAUAGGACUUUCCGCAACCAUUGUCCUGUGGACGACCUUGAAAAGAAUGUAGAAUAACUAAUAAUAAAAGAAUGGCGAUGAUUGCAACAUAAAGAGACCAGCUUCGUAUAGCCUUAACUAUAACAUUCCCCUUUGAGAUUUUAAUUUCCUUUUCUAUGGAAAUAGAGCUAGGUGUUGAAGAACCAGAGCUAGUAACGCUAGGAAUAUCAUUUUGCUCUAAAUUAGGUUUCUCAUCGUUUGAGGCUGUGUUGGCAUUAUUGCGUUUAUAAAAGCCGCUUGAAAGCUUUGAAUUGGAGAUAUAGUAGCCAUUCACAGUAUCUGACCUUCCCUUAUCGUCUUUCAUAGUUUUAAAAAACCGAGACGAAGAAGACGAUAUACGGGUUGAGCCUUGAUACAAAUCCAGGGCCGCUAAUGAAAGUUAAAGACAAAUAAAAGGGAAAUAAUAAUUCAAAAGGCAAGUAAAACCUGUUAAUAUUUAAGACUCAGUUGUUUAGAUGAAGUGCAAAUUAGGUAUCAACUGAAAAAGAAAUUUCCAGUUUGCAAAAAAUUAGACAGGUUACAACAACAGAAAAAAAAAACAUAUAAUAAAAAUCCUCGUAAUUUAGGACAUAAGUAGGAAUUUCACAGUAUUUCCCAAACACUGUUAUAUCUAAGUCCUUUAAUCAAUUUGUUGCCUCAAAUGAAGAAUCCAGCUCCAAAAUCGAGGACUGUGUCAAAGAAAUCAAUUAUUAGAAAUGAAAAGUAGAUCCUAAAGACUUGAAGGGAAAAAGGGACAGUAAGGAAAUUCACUGUUUGUCUACUAACAAUAUAAACCUAAGAAAUCAAUGAAAGAAAUUCAUGCAACAGAAACAAAGGUUUUGUUAGAAAGUUUUUAAGUAGUAUUAUUUCAGCCACAAUAUGGAAUUUAUAAAUUUUCGUUUAAUUUUUUGAUUAUGGUUGGUUCGCACUAGACGUAAGGGCUGAGCUUGAAUAGCCUCAACUUCGCCUUACUGAGCUGCCUGAAUAUCAACGUACAAAUGUGGCAGCUUAGCAAGGAUAACAGUUUACACUAACAUUUUUUAUUUUCUUCAUAACCAUUUGCUUUGUUUUAUAUUCGAAAUAAAUUAUUGAUAAUAAGGAUGUAACAAAACUUCAUACAUUAAAAAUUGGUGUUCAUUUCAACCUUAAUGUUUGAAACAAACGUUAAAUUGAUAUCGAAAAGCACGUAAGCGUUUUUGCAAUGUUUAAACAUAUUUGAUUGUAAACAGGCUUAAGAAAUAGCACAUUUUUUCCAAUCAUUCACAAGCAGUAGAUCCUAAUACUUAAUGAAUUGAACAUUUUUGAAUAAUAAUCUAGGAAAGAAUCGCAAACGCAAAGCAAUUAUAAACUCAAACAGAACUAAUUAUGGGUAGAAU